GACUCGGUAGCGGAGGGUCCGCGUCUGCCUCAAAUGUGGGAAUAACAUUCGAAGCUGAGUACACAGAUGUCGCCUGUUCGAUUCAGGCCCGAGUCA